rnacentral:rRNA from 1 species
ACCGGCCUUGUCUAAGUAUAAGCAAUUAUACGGCGAAACUGCGAAUGGCUCAUUAUAUAAGUUAUCGUUUAUUUGAUAGUACCUUACUACUUGGAUAACCGUGGUAAUUCUAGAGCUAAUACAUGCUUAAAAUCCCGACUUCGGAAGGGAUGUAUUUAUUAGAUUAAAAACCAAUGCCCUUCGGGGCUCUCUGGUGAUUCAUGAUAACUUCUCGAAUCGCAUGGCCUUGCGCCGGCGAUGUUCAUUCAAAUUUCUUCCCUAUCAACUUUCGAUGUUUGGGUAUUGCCAAACAUGGUUGCAACGGGUAACGGAGGGUUAGGGCUCGACCCCGGAGAAGGAGCCUGAGAAACGCUACUACAUCCAAGGAAGGCAGCAGGCGCGCAAAUUACCAAUCCCGACUCGGGGAGGUAGUGACAAUAAAUACUGAUACAGGGUUCUUUUGGAUCUUGUAAUUGGAAUGAGUACAAUUUAAAUCCCUUAACGAGGAACAAUUGGAGGGCAAGUCUGGUGCCAGCAGCCGCGGUAAUUCCAGCUCCAAUAGCGUAUAUUAAAGUUGUUGUGGUUAAAAAGCUCGUAGUUGAACCUUGGGCCUGGCUGGCCGGUCCGCCUCACCGCGUGUACUGGUCCGGCCGGGCCUUUCCCUCUGUGGAACCCUAUGCCCUUCACUGGGUGUAGCGGGGAAACAGGACUUUUACUUUGAAAAAAUUAGAGUGCUCCAGGCAGGCCUUUGCUCGAAUACAUUAGCAUGGAAUAAUAAAAUAGGACGUGUGGUUCUAUUUUGUUGGUUUCUAGGACCGCCGUAAUGAUUAAUAGGGACAGUCGGGGGCAUCAGUAUUCAAUUGUCAGAGGUGAAAUUCUUGGAUUUAUUGAAGACUAACUACUGCGAAAGCAUUUGCCAAGGAUGUUUUCAUUAAUCAGGAACGAAAGUUAGGGGAUCGAAGACGAUCAGAUACCGUCGUAGUCUUAACCAUAAACUAUGCCGACUAGGGAUCGGACGAUGUUAAAAAUUGACUCGUUCGGCACCUUACGAGAAAUCAAAGUGCUUGGGCUCCAGGGGGAGUAUGGUCGCAAGGCUGAAACUUAAAGAAAUUGACGGAAGGGCACCACCAGGGGUGGAGCCUGCGGCUUAAUUUGACUCAACACGGGGAAACUCACCAGGUCCAGACACAAUGAGGAUUGACAGAUUGAGAGCUCUUUCUUGAUUUUGUGGGUGGUGGUGCAUGGCCGUUCUUAGUUGGUGGAGUGAUUUGUCUGCUUAAUUGCGAUAACGAACGAGACCUUAACCUGCUAACUAGCCCGUAUUGCUUUGGCAGUACGCUGGCUUCUUAGAGGGCUAUCGCUCAAGCCGAGAAUUUAUCGCUCAAGCCCCAAGAUUCGG